rnacentral:rRNA from 1 species
GUGGAUUAGAUACCCUGGUAGUCCCGGCAGUAAACGAUGGGUACUAGGUGUUGGAGGGAAUUGACCCCUUCAGUGCCGCAGCUAACGCAUUAAGUACCCCACCUGGGGAGUACGACCGCAAGGUUGAAACUCAAAGGAAUUGACGGGGGCCCGCACAAGCAGUGGAGUAUGUGGUUCAAUUCGACGCAACGCGAAGAACCUUACCUGGGUUUGAAAUGUGUUGGAAAGCCUCAGAGAUGAGGCCCCUCCGCAAGGAGUCGAUACAUAGGUGCUGCAUGGUUGUCGUCAGCU